CCUACCUGGACAUACUGGUACCACAGCUCCUACCUGGACAUACUGGUACCGCAGCUCCUACCUGGACAUACUGGUACCGCAGCUCCUACCUGGACAUACUGGUACCACAGCUCCUACCUGGACAUACUGGUACCGCAGCUCCUACCUGGACAUACUGGUACCACAGCUCCUACCUGGACAUACUGGUACCACAGCUCCUACCUGGACAUACUGGUACCACAGCUCCUACCUGGACAUACUGGUACCACAGCUCCUACCUGGACAUACUGGUACCACAGCUCCUACCUGGACAUACUGGUACCGCAGCUCCUACCUGGACAUACUGGUACCACAGCUCCUACCUGGACAUACUGGUACCGCAGCUCCUACCUGGACAUACUGGUACCGCAGCUCCUACCUGGACAUACUGGUACCACAGCUCCUACCUGGACAUACUGGUACCACAGCUCCUACCUGGACAUACUGGUACCACAGCUCCUACCUGGACAUACUGGUACCACAGCUCCUACCUGGACAUACUGGUACCGCAGCUCCUACCUGGACAUACUGGUACCGCAGCUCCUACCUGGACAUACUGGUACCACAGCUCCUACCUGGACAUACUGGUACCACAGCUCCUACCUGGACAUACUGGUACCACAGCUCCUACCUGGACAUACUGGUACCGCAGCUCCUACCUGGACAUACUGGUACCACAGCUCCUACCUGGACAUACUGGUACCACAGCUCCUACCUGGACAUACUGGUACCACAGCUCCUACCUGGACAUACUGGUACCACAGCUCCUACCUGGACAUACUGGUACCGCAGCUCCUACCUGGACAUACUGGUACCACAGCUCCUACCUGGACAUACUGGUACCGCAGCUCCUACCUGGACAUACUGGUACCACAGCUCCUACCUGGACAUACUGGUACCACAGCUCCUACCUGGACAUACUGGUACCACAGCUCCUACCUGGACAUACUGGUACCGCAGCUCCUACCUGGACAUACUGGUACCACAGCUCCUACCUGGACAUACUGGUACCACAGCUCCUACCUGGACAUACUGGUACCACAGCUCCUACCUGGACAUACUGGUACCACAGCUCCUACCUGGACAUACUGGUACCACAGCUCCUACCUGGACAUACUGGUACCACAGCUCCUACCUGGACAUACUGGUACCACAGCUCCUACCUGGACAUACUGGUACCACAGCUCCUACCUGGACAUACUGGUACCACAGCUCCUUCACUCUGUUACUAUUCCUCUCAAAUUGAACCUUGUAGAGUUGUUUCAUAGUCAUUUGCUUUCUUUUCAAAACUUUUCUCUAUAGUGGAAAUGCUGACAGAAUUUAUAUUUGUUAAGAUAUUUUUGUCAUUUAUGAUUGCACUUUGGAUCUCUCUUUGUGUC
rnacentral:lncRNA from 8 species